AUCAUAAGGGAGGAGGGAGGAGGAAAGUCCCAUCGCACAAGCAGAAAUACUUGUGCUGAUGAUAGGACGGUUUAGUAGCCUCUGUCAGCACCAAUCAGUUUUCAGGCAUGGUUUAGAUUCAUUUUUCUUCUUCAUCUGCAGACAUUUCCCCUCUCCCUUUGCAGGUGAGGGUUGACCCCAAAUCCUGCUUGCAAAUGGACUUCGACUGAGUGUGUGCUGCCUUGCAAAGCUUCUGACUGACAGCAUACCUUCAACAGAGCUUGCUGAAAACCACCUUUGUGGAGGAGGAGUUGGCACCAGCAUAGACUCUGAUUUGUUGUCCAGUGGCUGAGCCAGGACCGGAUUGAGGUUGGAUGAGGCCCUAAGCUACUGAAGCUCAACCAGCUCUUCUAGCACAGAGGACACUGAAUUCCGGUUUCCCAUUACAGCAACUAAGGAACAGAAAAUGCCGAACGAAUUAGUGUCAGUUUCUUUCUCUGAGGAUUUGAUGUGGAGACAACAGGUCUCCUGCCCUCCUUAG